UUUUCAUUGGGGUUGAGUCAAUCGUCUGGUGAAAAAAACAUUGUUGAUCCUACACUCGAAAAUGAAAAGACAUACAAUGAAUGUCAAGAGGAUGUUGUAGCUGCUACUCUUGGUCCAUUUAGUGCUACUGAAGAGCAACUUAGACUUCAAUUUAAGAAUCAAAACUUUGAUGAAGAAGACUACAUUGGUGUUGAAUCGCCAAUCGACACAAGGCAGCAAAGGC